GGCGAACGGGUGAGUAACGCGUGGGAAUAUGCCUUUGAGUGGGGGACAACUCGUGGAAACGCGAGCUAAUACCGCAUAAUCUCUACGGAGAAAAGCUGGGGACCUUCGGGCCUGGCGCUCAAAGAUUAGCCUGCGUCCGAUUAGCUAGUUGGUAGGGUAAAAGCCUACCAAGGCGACGAUCGGUAGCUGUUCUGAGAGGAUUAACAGCCACACUGGGACUGAGACACGGCCCAG
rnacentral:rRNA from 1 species